UCUGUGUGUGUGUAUGUGUGUGUGUGUAUGGACAUAGCAGUCUGUGUGUGUGUGUAUGUGUAUGGACUCAGCAGUCUGUCUGUGUGUAUGGACUCAGCAGUAUGUGUGUGUAUGGACUCAGCAGUCUGUGUGUGUGUGUGUGUGUGUGUGUGUAUGGACUCAGCUGUGUGUCUGUAUGAAUUUAGCAGUCUGUGUGUAUAUGGACUCAGCAGUCUGUGUGUGUGUAUGGACUCAACAGUCUGUGUCUGUAUGGACUCAGCAGUCUGUGUC